rnacentral:rRNA from 1 species
GCGUUGUUCGGAUUUACUGGGCGUAAAGGGCGCGUAGGCGGCGUGACGAGUCAAUUGUGAAAUCUCCGGGCUAACUCGGAACGGUCAAUUGAUACUGUUGUGCUAGAGUACAGAAGGGGCAAUCGGAAUUCUUGGUGUAGCGGUGAAAUGCGUAGAUAUCAAGAGGAACACCUGAGGUGAAGACGGGUUGCUGGGCUGAUACUGACGCUGAGGCGCGAAAGCUAGG